GACGAACGCUGGCGGCGUGCUUAACACAUGCAAGUCGAACGGAAAGGCCCUGCUUUUGUGGGGUGCUCGAGUAGCGAACGGGUGAGUAACACGUGAGUAACCUGCCCUUGACUUUGGGAUAACUCCAGGAAACUGGGGCUAAUACCGGAUAGGAGCUCCUGCUGCAUGGUGGGGGUUGGAAAGUUUCGGCGGUUGGGGAUGGACUCGCGGCUUAUCAGCUUGUUGGUGGGGUAGUGGCUUACCAAGGCUUUGACGGGUAGCCGGCCUGAGAGGGUGACCGGCCACAUUGGGACUGAGAUACGGCCCAGACUCCUACGGGAGGCAGCAGUGGGGAAUAUUGCACAAUGGGCGGAAGCCUGAUGCAGCAACGCCGCGUGCGGGAUGACGGCCUUCGGGUUGUAAACCGCUUUCGCCUGUGACGAAGCGUGAGUGACGGUAAUGGGUAAAGAAGCACCGGCUAACUACGUG
rnacentral:rRNA from 1 species